ACGAAGAAAAACCAUGCCUUAUUGUUGUGCAGUGAACUGUCACAACAGGACCAGUUCAGGAAGAAGUUUUUCCAAGAGAGAAGAGGCAGAGAGAGUGGAUUGUGCACGUGAAGCCAGAGGGUUGUUUUUUUCCGGAAGAGAAGACGAGGCGGAGAGAGUAGAUUGUGCGCAUGAAGCCAGAGGGUUGUUUUUUUCCGGAAGAGGAGGAGAUGAGGUGGAGAGAGUGGAUUGUGCGCGUGAAACAAAAUCAAGCAGUCAAAGAAGAAACAGAGCAGCAACGCUCAAGCAAAAAUAAGAUUGGAGGUAAACAUUUUUACUUUUGCUUGCAAUUGACAGUCAAGAAUCCUGAGGGAUCCUGUACAAAUCGUUGUGGAAUUUCCAAAGAAAAAACAUGCCUUAUUGUUGUGCAGUGAACUGUAACAAUGGGACCGGUUCAGGAAGAAGUUUACAUUUUUCUGAGAGAGUGGAUUGUGCACGUGAAGCCAGAGGGUUAUUUUUUUCCGGAAGAGGAGACAAGAUGGAGAGUGGAUUGUGCGUGUGAAACAAAAUCAAGCAGUCAAAGAAGAAAUGGAGCAGCAAUGCUCAAGCAAAAAGGAGAAGAUUGGAGGGUUCUAACAAAGCUGAUGGGAAAGGGGAAAAGAAGUCUUUCUACAGAAUACCAGCUGUGAUUGAGACACAAGCAAACCAAGGAGCUUUCUGCCAGGAGACAGAGAGAGUGUUUAGCUGCUUUAUGCAGAGCGGAUCUGAAUACUUCAAGUCUAUUUUGUUACUGGUGUCUGCGCCGCAGGAUUAUAUAGGCCAC